GAUGGGUGGGUAAGAGGUGGAUUCUGCUCUUAUGUCGAUGGCUUUUCCCCAUAAUACAGGCUUCUGUUUCUGUCUUUUCAAAUCUUUUCCCCAUUACUUUCUUGAGUUGAUAAAUCAUUACAUUUCUUGUUCUUUCUGGAAGGGUCCCCUCCCCCCAUCUAUAUUGGGGGAUUUCUGGAAAAAUAAUGAAUAGCCUAAGAGAUGAGAUCGAGUUAAUUGCCAAACAAUACAGCUAAUAUUAAGCAUUUUUAUUUCUUAGAUUAAAAUGUUUAUUGCAAGCAGUGUAUUAUGUAGAAUAUUUGGAAAUGUCUGGAGUGUGCAGACCCCCGGAUGCCUUGAUCUUUCAUUUUUUUAUUGAGUAAUUGGAAAUAAAAGAAUCUCAUUUGAUGCAUUUUGAGUUUUCAAAGAAAGAUAAUGUUCUAAAGCCAUAACCUCAAAGAACUAAGCAGUCUCUCAACUGGAGCCCAUUAUUUGAAUCUGUACUUUUAAUAGAAACAUUUAACUCAGAACUCAUUGAUCUGGAAUUUCAGCCCACUUGCUUUAAACUGCACAAUUGGUUUUUCCUAACACAUCUGUUGAAAUGUAUUGAACAUUCACUACAACCUGUCAUUAGGGAGACGUUGAAAGGCCCAGCCACGAAGCUUUUGCUAAGUCGGUUGCCUGGGGAAGUUCUGUGCUUAGCUGCUGCCCUCUGAGGAGGAGCAGGGCUACUUAACCUGAGACUGCAGAGGGGUCAGGUGAGGACCUGGCCAUUUGAUUUCUGCUUUGCUAACCGGGCCAAGCUGCUUUCAGGGCUUUGCUGGUGCUUAAGUGUUAGCUUUCCCCAGUUUCUGCAUCCUAGCUUCUCCCAGUGCCUGCUCUGAGCUCCCAUGCUUCACCGUCCUCUGUCUGUGAUGGGCAGAGACUGAGUGGGAACCACUUUCACGGCCGUCACUGUCUUCAGCGUCAUCUACAUUUCACGAUUUGUCAGGUGUCAUACUUAAACUAGCUUUUAAGCUUUCAAAAGCAAAUAAUACUCCAUAAAAGCAAGUCCUGGGUGGGGGGAGGGAGACACGUGGAUUUAGAAAUGGUGUGCCAUGAAAACCUGUACAGCUAUUGUCAGCAGAGUGACUCUUGGCUCAGAGCAUCCUAUUUGAACCCAGAAGACCACCCAUUUCCCAUCUGAUAACAUACUCAUGUUUUUUUAAAGAUUUAUUUUGUUUUAUGUACAUGAGUAUACUGUAGCUGUACAGAUGGUUGUGAGCCUUCAUGUGGUUGCUGGGAAUUGAAUUUUAGGACCUCUGCUCGCUCUGGUCAAUCCCACUCGCUCCAGCCCAAAGAUUUAUUAUUAUUAUUAUUAUUAUUAUUAUUAUAAAUAAGUACACUGUAGUUGAUUUCAGAUGUACCAGAAGAGGGUGGCAGAUCUCCUAAUGAGUGGUUGUGAGCCACCAUGUGGUUUGCUGUGAUUUGAACUCAGGACUUUUGGAAGAGCUCUUACCUGCUGAGCCAUCUCGCCAACCCAAACAUACUCACUAUAUGGAUGCGCUUGCACCAACAGCUAGGAGUGGGCAGAGGACCUGAACAUGUUGAUAGGAAUUUCCUCCAUGGACUCAAAAUCAGGCAGUGGCUUACAGGAGGAUAAUACCCAACUGCCAUUUAUGCCAGUGGCUUUAUCUGCAUGAGGCUGAGGCAGUCUCUUGGCCCCUCCACCUGGAGUAGACUUCUUGACUCUUAUCUUCAUGAGCUUGACUUUUCUGGCGACCUUCUUUGCCUGGUGAGUGGACCCCUCCCCAUAGCCCCUUAACAGAAUCUAUUUCUAUCUGCCAAUCAAACCCAGUUCUGACUGAUAUACUCUUGACAGGGUUUCUGGGAGACACAAGCUGGUGGGAUGAUUCUCAAUGGAAGACAAUAAACAUUUACAUUUUUAAUUAUAUAUUUACCAUAAGGCACACUGAGAAAAACUAUAAACAUGGUAUUACUGCUUAGAAUAACUGAAAAAUCCAUGGGCUUAAGUUUAAAAAUGUUGUUUUGAAGGAACUCAUUCAUGAAGUGAUGGUGUGGAUAUCUGUGGCUGUAGGGAGAAAUGCAAAUGGGAUGGAUCAAAGUCACUGGCCACUACCACAACUACAUGGGAAAGAAAACUCUAGAUUUGGACUUAGGGAAGUUCUCUAUACUGUCAGGGCCAGGGAUGUUAGAGUUAAGAGAGGCUGGAAGCAGCCAAAACUGGGGAAACCCUUCUGCCAUGGCUUGGGGGAAAGCCCAGGGUUUAGAGUUGAUCUGGGUUGAACUUCUCUGAGAUCUCCAGAUGACCCUUCACACAUCCUUUUGUAUAGCAUUGAGAAUCUGGUCCAGGACCAUGUAUGUUGAAUCUCAGUGGUCAAAUUCACAGUAUCUGGAAUCAGCUAAGAGACAUGUCUAUGGGCACAUACCAGGAGGUAUCGUCUUGAUUAGGUUAAUUGAAGUAGGAAGUCUCAAUGUGCGUGGCACCUUCUGGUGGCAGGUAGACAAAAGGGGGUCCAAGGAAAAAUCUUAUCACUUCAGCCUGGUUGCCUCCCAUCUUGCUGGGCAGUCCAGUUAUCCUGCUUGUGACUUCCUCAGUUCUGUUGCUGUGACUGCCACUACCACUGAACUCCUUCCCUGGUAACAACUCAGCUCUGUGGGUUUCCAACCUGGUCUCUCCAGGAAUCCUUCAGGUCUCGGCACCAGAGAGAGGACUACGGAGACACUUGGCCUCGUGGAAGCAGGUGUGCAGCCUCGUCAGAAUAACGAUACCUGUUCUGGACGACAGAAGUAUCAGUCAAGCCAGAAUCUAUUUUAACGUAUGUUCAUUCUGUUGGUUCUUUUCCUGAUUAAUACACUAGCUAAAUGCUCAGUCACAAUACUACACCUUUCUCCCUGCUGCCUCCCUUCUUGACCUGAAGGUUUAGCACAUCCAGCUAAGGCAGAGCAGAGAAAGGUGCUCUGAGACCCCUCCCUCAGGCCUCCACCUUGUCCUCCUCCCCGCCCUCCUUCUUCCAUUCCCACUUCUCUUCUCUUGUCAUUGCACGUCCCCCCCACUACUCCCAUCCCCAGCUCAGGCCUUUGUGGCUUUGCUGGCCCAACAGCCAACAGUGGGAAUUACUUCAAGUGUGGGGCUCAGAGGUCAUCUUGCUCCCAACAAAGGGAUGGAUGUGGAGUGGGACACCUGUGAUGGUUUGAAUGAGAAAUGUCCCAUAAGCUCAGGUAUUCGAACACUUAGUCCUCACCUGGUGGUACUGUUUGGGGGUGGGGGUGGUGGAACUUUAGCAGGUAGAGCCUUGCUGGAGGAAGUAGUUGAUGGUGGGGGAGUGGGCUUUGAGAAUGCAUUGGUCUGUCUGUUUUGUGUUUCUGGUUGAAGGUGGGAUCUCUCAGCUCCCUGCUAUGCUGGCCAGCUGCCACGCCUCCCUGCCAUGGUAGAAUCUCCCCCAGGAACUAUAAUGCCAAAUAAACUCCCUCUCCCAUGGAUUUAUUUCCCUGAUCCUGCUGUAAUAUUUGGGACAGAAGUAACAGUUGUGGAGUGAGAGAGAGCCUUAUAUUAUCUACUAAAGGUAUCUAGGAUCAAGUACUUUUCUUAGAGUUCUCACACAAACACCUACUCUUUUAAAAAGAGAAAAAAUUGUGAGAUCUUAUUUUGACCUUUGGCGUCAAGCUAGUUAAAGGCUUUCAAGGAUGAGUGGGGUUUACAAUGGCCAUGGAACUUUCUGUCCAGUAGGCUCCUGCUCGCUGCCUUGAAAAAGUAUCCCGGCAGACGACAGUGCCAUGACGGCGAGCAUCCAAGAACACCACAGGAAAGACACAGCUGCGUCCAAAGAGCACAUUCCAAGCUUAUAAAGGCCUGAAACUGGAAAUUUCCUUCCGCUCCCAGAGCCGUCUCCUGAGCAAACAUUGUAAGUAGUCUCUGUCCUAAACUUGCCCAACAUUUGCCAUCAUAAAUUGAUGUAUGUCUGUGCCUCUACUUCUUGAUUUAUGAGCCUUAAUGGAAACUUUUAAUUUCUCUCAACCAAGAAGGAAGACUCAGAGGACAAUGGGCAUGUAUAUGAAGAAAGUUCGGGAUAAAUGUGUGUGCACGUGUGUGCGUGCGUGUGUGUGUGUGUGUGUGCGUGUGUGUGUGUGUGUGUGAGAGAGAGAGAGAGAGAGAGAGAGAGAGAGAGGCUCAAGGUACAGCUCAUUGAAUUUGUUCUUAGCUUAAAUAAAAACUAAAUAAAAGUACACUUUAGUGCUGAGUACCACUGCUUGUGGCUUGUUACUUUGCCUAUAUCUUUUAGAGGCUGUCAUCUGAGACGGUUCAUACAGAGUUCUCUCUCCCCUUCCCUUUCCCUUCCUCCCCACUCCCCUUCCCAGUCUCCGCCCCCCCCCCCACCUUAGU
rnacentral:lncRNA from 1 species